rnacentral:rRNA from 1 species
CAGCAGCCGCGGUAAUACGAAGGGGGCUAGCGUUGUUCGGAACUACUGGGCGUAAAGCGCACGUAGGCGGACAUUUAAGUCAGGGGUGAAAUCCCGGGGCUCAACCUCGGAACUGCCUUUGAUACUGGGUGUCUCGAGUCCGGAAGAGGUAAGUGGAACUGCGAGUGUAGAGGUGAAAUUCGUAGAUAUUCGCAAGAACACCAGUGGCGAAGGCGGCUUACUGGUCCGGUACUGACGCUGAGGUGCGAAAGCGUGGGGAGCAAACUGGAUUAGAGACCCCCGUAGUCCCUGUCUCUUAUAC